rnacentral:tRNA from 1 species
GCCCCGGUCGUCUAGUGGAAAGGACACGAGGCCUUCAAUCUCGUGACCGGAGUUCGAUUCUCCGUCGGGGCGCCA